rnacentral:rRNA from 1 species
GACGAACGCUGGCGGCGUGGAUUAGGCAUGCAAGUCGGACGGUAGGGCUUUAUCGUAAGAUAGAGUUUGAGAGUGGCGAACGGGUGAGUAACACGUAGGAAUCUACCCUUAAGACGGGGACAACCCAGGGAAACUUGGGCUAAUACCGGAUGAGAGUGCGAGAGAUUGCAUUUAAAAGGAUGGCGAAAGUUGUCGCUUAGGGAUGAGCCUGCGGUCUAUUAGUUAGUUGGUGAGGUAAGAGCUCACCAAGGCGAUGAUAGAUAGGCGGCCUUAACGGGUGGUCGCCCACACUGGGAUUGAGAUACGGCCCAGACUCCUACGGGAGGCAGCAGUCGAGAAUAGUCUACAAUGGCCGGAAGGCUGAUAGUGCGACGCCGCGUGAACGAGGGAGCCCUUCGGGUGUAAGUUACUUUUCUUAUACGAGCAGUGCUAUAUAUAUGGAUAGUAUAUAUUAGAGGGAGUAGUAGUAUAGGAAUAAGAACGGCUAACUCCGUCGCCAGCAGCCGACC